rnacentral:rRNA from 1 species
GACAGCAGUAGCCGCGGGAAAACGUAGGGUGCGAGCGUUGUCCGGAAUUACUGGGCGUAAAGCGUGCGCAGGCGGUUGUGUAAGACAGGUGUGAAAUCCCCGGGCUUAACCUGGGAACUGCGCUUGUGACUGCACAGCUAGAGUAUGGCAGAGGGGGGUGGAAUUCCACGUGUAGCAGUGAAAUGCGUAGAGAUGUGGAGGAACACCGAUGGCGAAGGCAGCCCCCUGGGCCAAUACUGACGCUCAUGCACGAAAGCGUGGGGAGCAAACAGGAUUAGAUACCCGCGUAGUCCCUGUCUCUUAUAC